UUUUUUGGUGUUUUUUGUUUGUUGUUUGUUUUUUUGACGGAAUCUCACUCUGUCGCCCAGGCUGGAUGGAGUGCAGCGGAGGUUGCGGUAACCCGAGAUCAUGCCAUCACACCCCAGCCUGGGCAACAAGAACGAAACGGCCAGGCGCGGUGGCUCACGCUUGUAAUCCCAGCACUUUGGGAGGCCGAGGCGGGCGGAUCACGAGGUCAGGAGAUCGAGACCACGGUGAAACUCCGUCUCUACUAAAAAUACAAAAAAAAAUUAGCCGGGCGUGGUGGCGGGCGCCUGUAGUCCCAGCUACUCGGAGAGGCUGAGGCAGGAGAAUGGCGUGAACCCGGGAGGCGGAGCUUGCAGUGAGCCGAGAUCGCGCCACUGCACUCCAACCUGGGUGACAGAGCGAGACUCCGUCUCAAAAAAAAAAAGAACGAAACUCUGUCUCAAAAAAAGAAAAAACAACAUACAGGACAGGCCCGGCAUGGUGGCUCAGGCCUGUAAUCCUAGCACUUUGGGAGGCUGAGGCUAGACGAUCGCUUGAGCCCAAGGGUUUGAGAACAACCUGGGCAACAUGGUGAAACCCCAUCUCUACAAAAAAAAUUUUAAAAAUUAGGCAGGUAUGGUCGGGCACAGUGGCUCAUGCCUGUAAUCCCAGCACUUUGGGAGGCCGAGGCGGGCGGAUCAUGAGGCCUGGAGAUCGAGACCAUCCUGGCUUACACAGUGAAACUCUGUCACUUCUAAAAAAUACAAAAAAUUAGGCGUGGUGGUGGACACCUGUAGUCCAGGCAGGAGAAUGGCAUGAACCCAGGAGAUGGAGCUUGCAGUGAGCCAAGAUCACACCACUGCACUCCAGCCUGGGUGACAGAGCCAGACUCCAUCUCAAAAAAUAAUAAUAAUUAAAAAAAUAAAAAAUUAGCCAGGCAUGGUGGUACACACUUGUAGUCCCAGCUAUUUAGGUUGCUGCAAAAGUAAUUGCAGUUUUUUUUUUUUAAUUUUUUGUUUUUGAGAUAGAGUCUUGCUCUGUUGCCCAGGCUGGAGCACAGUAGCAUGAUGUCGGCUCACUGCAGCCUCAGCCUCCUGGGCUCAAGCAAUUCUCCUGCCUUAGCCUCCCGAGUAGCUGGGAUUACAAAUGUGUGCCACCAUGCCCAGCUAAUUUUUUGUAUUUUUAGUAGAGACGGGGUUUCACUGUGUUAGCCAGGAUGGUCUCAAUCUCCUGAUCUCGUGAUCCACCUGCCUCGGCAUCCCGAAGUGCUUGGGAUUACAGGCGUGAACCACAGCGCCCAGCCAGUAGUUGCAGUUUUCGCCAUUAAAUACUUCAGAUGCCAAGGUAGGAGGAUCAUCUGAGCCCAGGAGGUUGAGGCUGGGGUGAGCCAUGAUCCGGCCACUGCACUCCAGCCUGGGAAAUAGAGUGAGACCCUGUCUCAAAAGAACAUGCAGAACAACUACUGUAGAUGAAUAGUAAUAGGAUGUGUUAAAGACACUCUGAUCCUUAAAGAAUUUUUUUUUUAACAAUCUCUUGCGGCUGGGUGCAGUGGCUCACGCCUGUAAUCCCAGCCCUUUGGGAGGCCGAGGCGGGUGGAUCAUGAGGUCAGGAGGUCAAGACCAUCCUGGCUAACAUGGUGAAACCCUGUCUCUACUAAAAAUACAAAAAAUUAGCCGGGCGUGGUGGCCGGUGCCUGUAGUCCCCACUACUUGGGAGGAUGAGGCAGGAGAAUGGCGUGAACCCAGGAGGCGGAGCUUGCAGUGAAUCCAGAUCGCGCCACUGCACUCCAGCCUGAGCGACAGAGCGAGACUGCAUCUCAAAAAAAAAAAGAAUCUCUUGCUUCCUGGGUUUUUCUUCUUUCUCUUUUUCUUUUUUUUGGGGGCAGGGGGGGUGGUGGAGACAGAGUCUCGGUCUGCUACCCAGGCUGGACUCAAAAAAAAAAAAAAAAAAGAA